UACGUAGGGUGCAAGCGUUGUUCGGAAUUAUUGGGCGUAAAGAGCUCGUAGGCGGUCUGUCGCGUCGGAUGUGAAAACCCAGGGCUCAACCCUGGGCCUGCAUUCGAUACGGGCAGACUAGAGUUCGGUAGGGGAGACUGGAAUUCCUGGUGUAGCGGUGAAAUGCGCAGAUAUCAGGAGGAACACCGGUGGCGAAGGCGGGUCUCUGGGCCGAAACUGACGCUGAGGAGCGAAAGCGUGGGGAGCAAACAGG
rnacentral:rRNA from 1 species